rnacentral:rRNA from 1 species
GAUGAACGCUGGCGGCGUGCCUAAUACAUGCAAGUCUAGCGAACAGAUGAGAAGCUUGCUUCUCUGAUGUUAGCGGCGGACGGGUGAGUAACACGUGGGUAAUCUACCUAUAAGACUGGGAUAACUCCGGGAAACCGGGGCUAAUACCGGCUAAUAUUUUUAACCGCAUGGUUCAAUAGUGAAAGCCGGUUUCGGCUGUCACUUAUAGCUGGACCCGCGCCGUAUUAGCUAGUUGGCAGGCUAACGGCUUACCAAGGCGACGAUACGUAGCCGACCUGAGAGGGUGAGCGGCCACCCUGGAACUGAGACACGGUCCAGACUCCUACGGGAGGCAGAAGUAGGGAAUCUUCCGCAAUGGGCGAAAGCCUGACGGAGCAACGCCGCGUGAGUGAUGAAGGUCUUCGGAUCGUAAAACUCUGUUGUUAGGGAAGAACAAAUUUGUUAGUAACUGAACAAAUCUUGACGGUACCUAACCAGAAAGCCACGGCUAACUACGUGCCAGCAGCCGCCGUAA